UACAGAGGGUGCGAGCGUUAAUCGGAAUUACUGGGCGUAAAGGGCGCGUAGGCGGCCGAUCAAGUCGGGGGUGAAAGCCUGUGGCUCAACCACAGAAUUGCCUUCGAUACUGUUUGGCUUGAGACCGGAAGAGGUUAGUGGAACUGCGAGUGUAGAGGUGAAAUUCGUAGAUAUUGGGAGGAACACCAGUGGCGAAGGCGGCUCACUGGACCGGUACUGACGCUGAGGCGCGAAAGCGUGGGGAGCAAACGGG
rnacentral:rRNA from 1 species